CUGGCUCAGGAUGAACGCUAGCGGCAGGCUUAACACAUGCAAGUCGAGGGGCAGCGGGAUGUAGCAAUACAUUGCCGGCGACCGGCGGAUGGGUGCGUAACGCGUAUGCAACCUACCUUAUACAGGGGAAUAACCUUUCGAAAGGGAGACUAACACCCCAUAGUAUUGAUUUAAGGCAUCUUAGAUUAAUUAAAUAUUUAUAGGUAUAAGAUGGGCAUGCGUAUGAUUAGCUAGUUGGUAAGGUAACGGCUUACCAAGGCGACGAUCAUUAGGGGUUCUGAGAGGAAGGUCCCCCCACACUGGUACUGAGACACGGACCAGACUCCUACGGGAGGCAGCAGUGAGGAAUAUUGGUCAAUGGGCGCAAGCCUGAACCAGCCAUGCCGCGUGCAGGAAAAGACGGCCUUAUGGGUUGUAAACUGCUUUUACAUAAGACUAACCGUAUAUUUGCGAAUAUACCUGAAUGUAUUAUGAGAAUAAGGAUCGGCUAACUCCGUGCCAGCAGCCGC
rnacentral:rRNA from 1 species